GACGAACACUGGCGGCGUGCUUAACACAUGCAAGUCGAACGGAAAGGCCCUGCUUUUGUGGGGUGCUCGAGUGGCGAACGGGUGAGUAACACGUGAGUAACCUGCCCUUGACUUUGGGAUAACUUCAGGAAACUAGGGCUAAUACCGGAUAGGAGCUCCUGCUGCAUGGUGGGGGUUGGAAAGUUUCGGCGGUUGGGGAUGGACUCGCGGCUUAUCAGCUUGUUGGUGGGGUAGUGGCUUACCCAGGCUUUGACGGGUAGCCGGCCUGAGAGGGUGACCGGCCACAUUGGGACUGAGAUACGGCCCAGACUCCCACGGGAGGCAGCAGUGGGGAAUAUUGCACAAUGGGCGGAAGCCUGAUGCAGCAACGCCGCGUGCGGGAUGACGGCCUUCGGGUUGUAAACCGCUUUCGCCUGUGACGAAGCGUGAGUGACGGUAAUGGGUAAAGAAGCACCGGCUAACUACGUG
rnacentral:rRNA from 1 species